rnacentral:lncRNA from 1 species
UCUCAGCUUUGCACAGUGGCAGUAUUGUAGCCAGUGAGGUUCAUCCGAGGCACAAUUAUUGGCUAAUUAAACUAUCUCACUGACCAAGGCUACCUAUAACUCAUAUAAACAAAGUGUUUUUCCUUUAUCUUGGUUGAACCUAGGGCUUAAGAAUUCCUUGAUGUUCCAUGACUUGGAUACAUUAAGGCAAUCUAUUGAUGGUAAACUUUUAUCAGAUGCCAAUGUAGUCUCCCAAGAUUUCCUGGAGGGGAAAUGGAUAACAACACUGAACUUACUGACUCCAAUUAGAACAGCCUAUUUUGGUUCCUGUGUAAUACUCUCAAGAAAGAGUCUACUUCCUUUGUCCCCAUACAGGAUGAAUUUGUUUCUCCAUCACUUCUGCUUUAUUAUUUCACUCCCUCCAGACAUAAGUCAUAAUUAAAGAUAAUGCAUUUUUCUCUGAGUAAAGGAAAUUACAUUAUAUUACAUAAAUAAAUGAAGCUUUAAUUUUGUUCUCCAUAUUUCUCAACAGCUUUGCAGAUGGUAUUAAGAAACAGGGCAUCUGUGUCUCCCUGUGGAAAAACCCAGGCUCUUCUGGAACUGUGGGCUCCUUGUGUUGCUGUCAUGUAAUCAAGAAGCUAGAGCAUCUGCCCAUUAUCACAUUUCUAAUGUUGAAGUGGAGAUAUGAGGAUUUUGAAAGUUCCCAAUUGGAUGCCUCUAAAGGAAGUGAGGGCUCUUUCAAGUAAGAAAAACUCAUUUUAUAUUACCUUUUAAGCUAGCUGUUAUUAAUUUUCAAUUUUAUGCUAGAAAUUUGCAACUCACAAAAAGAAAGGAAAAAAGUUAAACCCUGAUUUUAAAUAUCAUUGUUCCCCAUUUUUCAUGUCUCAGUUACCACAUUUAAAAAGAAGAUGGCACCAUUUGUCCAAGGAAUCUCAUUACUGGGUAUAUGCCCAAAGGAAUAUAAAUCAUUCUAUUAUAAAGAUACAA